ensembl:lncRNA
CUUGCGGUGAGAACUGGGCAAGUCAUUCUCUAGGCUGGUUUCCUAGCUGUUAAGAGCUUGGACUAGAUCAUGACCAAAGGUCUUCUAGUUUCAAGAUUUUAGGAGUCUAUGAGCAUUAAAGUUCCAACCUUGCAUUGAAAUCCAGUAUUUAACUUUAUUGAGUAAGAAUUAUACUGCAUAUGUAUGUCCGAUGAAAAGCCAGUGAUGAAAAGGAGAAAAUGGUAUAAUCAAGAUGUCAGCAGUCUUGUUGGAGAAAAGGUGGUGAGACCCCAGGUUUUCCAGCCCUAUGGGUCACCUCUUAUUCAGUAUUUAAAUCAAAAGAAUCCCCAUCCUGCCUACAGUGGGAAAUCCACUGUCCCCACCAACAUGCCCCAGUAUUCUUGGAGGGUUUUAGUGGCUUUUCUAACCACCUUUUGAUAUGAUUUUCUGACUCCUUUUAAUUCAGUCUCUCAUCUCACCUUAUUCAGCUCUCUCUUCUUUUAUCAUGCAUUGAAUCUAAAUGUGGAACAGCAUUCAUUUUCAUUGAUAUUUUCCCUCAAACUAUACAAUCUUAAGGUAAUUACGUGCAGUCGACCAUCACUGAAGUGUUAGGGUUAACAUGGAGGGUCUCCAUCACAGCUUAGCCCAGUGGGUUACUUGUGGAAUGUACUAGACACUCUGGUUCUUAGAAGUGCUUGGCCACUCUCACUGUUGCAAAGUUCCAAACAGGCUGAUCCCUCUUACAUCUGCCCUCCCACCCCUCCAGAAGCUCCAGACUCCUCCUACUUUAUAAAACAUAAAAGUUUAGCUUUGUUUCUCAACCAGACCAUUGGAGUGUUUCUUUUCACAGUUAAUGAAGAUUCCAAUGGCUAUGUCUAAAGAAAGACAUUUCUCUCCCUCGGAGGAAUUCUGCCUCCAGCUUACGUGUAUUUUUUCCUUCUGGCAAAGUAGGAUGGAGAGGUAGGGAGAAGUGGAGUAGGAAGACGUGGAGAUGGCUCAGGAAGAGGAUGCAGGGAAAGGGAGCUGGUGUGCGAGCUGCCCGUCACCCGCAGUACCCUGUGCCGAGGGUUUUACAAGUAUCACCCCAGCUAAUGGUGAAAACAAGCUGAUAAAGUCGCUAUUGAAGUGAAAACUGCUUUGAAAGGCAAAACUCCUGAGGUCAGAUCUGUCUCUCUGACUGAAGGGAAGGAAAUGAACGGAACCCCUUGAAGCAAAGUUGUGUAUUUCCAUUCAGAAGAGGAACAUUCUACCUCUCUCUUGUGAGAGCGGUGGAUUCCUGGUCCCUGAAAGCAUUGGAACAUGGGCCAAGUAACUACUUGGUGAGCCAUUGUAAAGGAAAUUCAAGGGGUACCAUGAGGAUUGGGUUUCACAAGCCUCAAAGUCCUUCCCAAGUCUGAGCAUCUCAGCGGCUGCUGGACUAUCUUUCCGGGUUUUGCCUUCACCUUGGUCACCAGGAUUGCGACACGCUUUUGGGCACUAUUCACAACAGCCAAGACAUGGAAACAAUCCAAGUACCCAUUGUCUGACGAUUGGAUAAAGAAGAUAUAGUAUAUAUAUACAAUGGAAUACUACUCAGCCAUAAAAAAGACAAAAUCAUCCCAUUUGCAACAACAUGGAUGGAUCUGGAGGGACUUAUGCUAAGCAAAAUCAGCCAAACAAGAAAGACAAACACCAUAUGAUUUCACUCUUGUGUGGCAUAUAAACAAACACAUGGACAAAGAAAACAGUUCAG